UGUGGGAGCGAGCUUGCUCGCGAUGGCGGUGGAUCAGUUGUCAUGCGUACGUCUGACACUCUGCUAUCGCGAGCAAGCUCGCUCCCACA
rnacentral:antisense_RNA from 1 species